rnacentral:rRNA from 1 species
GGAGUUAUCCGGUGCUUCUUCUGUGAGUGAUGUCCUUCCUGCCGGCUAUUAACCCGCAGGCCUUCUUCCUCACUGAAAGUGCUUUACAACCCGAAGGCCUUCUUCACACACGCGGCAUGGCUGGAUCAGGGUUGCCCCCAUUGUCCAAUAUUCCCCACUGCUGCCUCCCGUAGGAGUCUGGGCCGUGUCUCAGUCCCAGUGUGGCUGAUCAUCCUCUCAGACCAGCUACGGAUCGUCGCCUUGGUGAGCCGUUACCUCACCAACCAGCUAAUCCGACAUAGGCUCAUCCGAUAGCGCGAGGCCCGAAGGUCCCCCGCUUUCCCCCGUAGGGCGUAUGCGGUAUUAGCCUGGGUUUCCCCAGGUUAUCCCCCACUACCGGGCAGAUUCCUAUGCAUUACUCACCCGUCCGCCGCUCGCCACCAGGGAGCAAGCUCCCCGUGCUGCCGCUCGACUUGCAUGUGUUAGGCCUGCCGCCAGCGUUCAAUCUGAGCCAGAAUCAAACUCUGA